CUCUCGGCUCCGGCCAGGAGAACCCGGCGGCAAGCAGGCGGCCCGCGCUCCUCGGCCGGCGGGAGGAGCCGCGGAGUCCUCCCAGCGUGCAUGUGAUGUCAGUGUGGUUGUUCCUCUUCCUCCACUUUCCUUCCCCUUGCCCUCCGCUCGGCGCGCGGCCACGCGGACGCGUAAGGCUUGUUUUUCUCCUCUCCUGAUGUCCUUUUGGGCCUAAUCGUGCGAAAAUGGCUUUUCUUUUUUUUUUUUUAAACCGUGCCACUUUGUGCCUUGGUUCUGUCAAUAAUCCCUUAGGGAUGGAGAUUUUAAGUGAGCAUGAUUCACGCACAGUUGUUUAAGGAAGUACAUUAGCGCUCCGCUGGGAAACGCGCGAACACGCAGACAGACAGGGUCCCAUUUUAAUAUAGCGCUCCUACGCUUUCUUUUGUGUUGGAAAAAGAUACAAGUAACGCCUGUCGCUUCAAGUUUCCCGAAAACAGGCGGGUCUGGAGUGUUUUCAAAACAUAUGACUGCGUUAAAAAUGCCUUCCGUUGGCUCUCAAAUCUUUCAUUAAGCCCCCUCUGAAAGGGAAAGGAAGCGCUGUGCAAACAAAAAUCCCACUGCCCUGUCUUUCCUAGGGUGGCUGCUGCAGGAGAGGGAGUGGGCACACACAAAGUUUUCCGCCCGGCCACCUUACGUUGUUUCCUCCCAGCUUCCGGAUCCAACGACUUUCCCGGCCUGAGGAGGGCGGUGCCGGCCGGAGGGAGGGGGCGGCGCGGAGGGUGGCGGCCCGAGAGGGCGCGCGGCCGCCGAUGUAGGUUAGAGCGGGCGGGGGCCGUGACGUGGGCGCCGAGCAGGCCCCUGAGCCGCAGCUGAGUGCGCAUGCUCCGCACGGACGUGACUCUAUGCAAUUGGCACUUGCAGCCUCAUUAAACGAAAUGCACAUUCCAGGGAUCAAGGGAAACAGCGCGAUCUAUAGCCAGAGCCUUCGCGUCACCGCGCAGGCCCCGCCCCCGCCGGCUAUUUCUGGUCCUUCAGGUCCCUCCCUCAGCCGGGCUAAACUUGUACUCCAGGUAGCGCCAGGCGCCAGUGUUGGGGAGUGGGCGAGUGUCGGCGGCGGCCGGCGUGUUCCGCCGAGGGCCCCGCGGGCUCAGAGGGGCGACCGGCGGGGGCUGGUUCACAGGCUGCACGUGCAGUUGUCGUGCAGGCCGGGGCCGUUGGCAGCUGGGUGCUGUGAUGGGAGGCGGGUUUGUACUGUCCACGCAGCCAGGCCGGUGUCCGCCCUCCCUCGGCGCCGACCCGCCUGACGCGAAGGGGUCUGCGACAGCAGACUGUGCUGGGACCGCGGUCCUCCGCCACGGUCUGCAGCCAUAGACUCUGCCCAGACUGACUUGAACACUUGAGUUUCACACUUUUAUCGGGAGGAGGAGCUGAUUUGUUUUAUGGUAAAUCACUUUGGCUGGUCGUUAGUCUCGCUGACUAAUACACGCGGGCUUAGUCACUCUCUCAGUCGGGACUUUUACACUUCAGCUUUGUCAGGGCGGCCGCUGGAGCUGCUUUUGUUGGGAACACAGGCCUACUUCUCUGCCUUAGACUGGAAUGAGCUGGUUAAGUGUGGGAAGAACAGGGUACUAAUUAUAUUUUCCCUACAACUGGAUUGGUAGGUGGAGAGAGAAGAAAAUCCUGCUGACGUUUCUCUUCUGUUGUUGCUGUUGAAAAUGCCAGGUUGCUUGAAGGGAUUAACCACAAGGAAGAGGAAGAACACCCUCAGAGAAACAGUGAAGGAAGCUGCUUUAAGCACAUGAGAAAACCUGUUCGAAAAUGGCAGGGAGAACAAUGUCAGACCUGAGUGUUUUUACAGGCUAACCCCGAAUGAGCUUUCUCGGGGAUUUCCAGAGAAGAAGGUGUGCCCCAUUAAGUGUCUCCCCAUCGUGCUCCACAUUUUGCCCUGAAGGAGCAAUCCCGCCUCAACCUCCUGAACUGGGAGAAUGGGGCCUGCCUGGACCCUUCCUGGGAGCAGCUAGUGAGAGUAGGUUUGGUCAGUCCCAUCCCUGGCUGUGGCUGGUAGCACACCUCCUUCAAGGACCUCCUCUCCUCCCCCUUCCCCCCGCAAUUCAGGCUGGGAGCUGAAACCCUGUGCCAAUAAUACCAGCACGUGACUUUUCCCACCUGGCCAAUGCCCAGAGGGGAUGAGCCCAGUCUUGGCGCUGCAGAGAGAUCAGCCAUCUCAAUGCGCCCCAGAGACUGCCCCACUAGCCAGUGACUGAAACAUUAAAAGGAAACCACAACUCGCCAUUAGAACCAUGGCCUAAUUAUAUUCAUUUACCUGCCAGCGACCACUGUAACGCCCUUAAGGGAGAGGCUACCGUACCCAAACAAAUACAAAUUGAGCCUUGAAAGGUAACGAAGAGUCUUUGUGGAACAUAGAUUUUCUUCUCCAGCAGAAAAGCAUUACCUUUUUAUUUUACACCGCCACUUUAAUGUCAAAACAGAGUUGUUGUAACUUCCCUAAUGAAAUGCCUGCUGGAAAAUGGAGAAGCUAUUUUCGCUCUGGGCUCUCCCGCCAUAAAAGGAUCCGGGAUCAAGAGGGUUAAGGCUGGCCCUGAGUUCGGGGCAGGGAUGCCUUAUAUUGUACCAAAAGUCUUUCAUGCUGCCUGCCCUUUCAUGUAGCUUAGAAGCUGUGAUGUAUGCUAAGUAAACAUAGCUUUGUUUUUGUCUUCCACCCACCCUCCCCGUGCAAAGCAGAGUUGGAACCUUCCAAAGCAGCUGCUGCAGCAGUUACAGCGCCUCCUCCACACACAGGAGCAGGGCUUUCAGGGUGAGGCAAUGCGUCUGCAAUUCGCAGGGACAAGGCAGGAAUUGUAAUUGUACUUCAUCAUGUGAUGACUUAUGAAAGAGGAAGUUGGGAUGUUUUAGUCACGUAGACUCUGCCCUCCUGCUUAAGGCCCCAGGUCCUCUCACAGGAUAAUUAUGAUCCUGGUUGCCACUUAGUCAAGGUUACCGGGUUGGUCGCAGUGGACAGGCAGGCGGAUGCCUAGCCAAGUGCUGGUGAGGCGGUAGGUUGAGGCUAGCUUUUAAGUAGAACGCUGAAAUGCCGCCAUUUGUCUUAAGAACUAAAGGAAAUAGACUACGGGGAACAUGCCUGCUGAGACUAGAGAACCAAACAGUCCUUCUCAGCUCUAAAGUUGAAGUUUUGUUUUGUUUUGUGUUUUUUUAAAUAAAACCCCAGGAGCAAAAGGAAAGCUAUCCACUACACCAUCAAAAGGAAUUGGAUACCCAUACCCCCGCCUCCCCGUUGCCAUCGAGUCGGUUUCAACCCAUAGCGACCCUAAAGGACAGAGUAGAACUGCCUCAGGAUUUCCAAGGAGCACCUGGUGGAUUCGAACUGCCAACCUUUUGGUUAGCAGCCUUAGCUCUUAAUCACUACGCCACCAGGUUGUCCAGGAUUUGGAUAGGGAACAGUUGUAAGAGCACUAGCUCCAUGGGUAGAGCAAAUCUGACUCCCACGUUGUGAUUUACGUGAGUUUCCAUUGUUGGAAAACUAAACAUCUAAAAUCAUAAUCUGCUGCCCGGAGCUUAUUCUAGCCCGUAUGCUCUUCCUAACACACUGUACCCUGUACUGGCUGCGGAUAGGGCAGGAGCCUAACUCUGCCCUCAGGACACACAGCCGUGUGAGGGUGCAGCCACGAGCCCUAGCACCUUGUGGGGUGCUGGCCAGGAGAUGGCAUUCCGAGGGACUGCUGAGUUCAUGAGUUUCACCCUUUAUCCAGAGGUGGAAGUACAGCCUUCAUCCUUUAGAAUGUGGGGGGAAAAAAAGUGUUUUUUUUUUUUUUUUUUUGUAGCUUCUAUUAAUAACCUGCUGUUGCAACCAUACUAAAGCUUCUUAAACUCUGACCCUGGGAUAUUUGAAGGAGAAAAAAAAUGCAAACACAUGUCAUUUGGAUUUCUGCUGGUACUUGAGCAAAAGUACAAUUGGCUAGAAGAACGCUUGUAAUGUGCAGAGCUUUUUCCAUUUAAAAGAAGUUAUAAAUCUAUAUUUGAAUGUACUCGUUGAUAUGAAUACAUCUUCCCGUACUAUGGAGAGUCGUGACAUAACGGGGUAUUCUGUAAUGUAUGCGAAAGCCUGUCCUCUAAAUAAUAGCAUUUUCUGACACAAUUCCACUGCUGUUCAAAUUACAAAUACACUUUUUUAGAAAUACUUUCCCUCUGUUUGACCUCUCCCUCUAGCCUCCUCUUCUGUGCACAAGAGAGCAUUCAGAUAUUAGUGAGGCUCUUAUGUGGAAGAGAGAAAUUCUCCGUGGAGGGUCUAAGAAUCAGGCCACAUAAAAUCACAGGAGCCCUUAAUCAUCCACAUAUUAUACACAGAAGCUGUUAGUCACCAGCCUAUGUGUAAACAAGUACAGUCUCCCAUUUAGAGCAAAAUUUGGGGUCCUGAUACAAGCUAACUGCUUACUGUGUCAGAAUUUUAAGAGCUGAGUGAAAAAUACAAAGGAGAGAUUGAGGUCACACACUCGCUCAGUCUACAAGGAAAUUUGUAGGAGAACUGGAAGGGAUUCAACAGCCAUUUGAUGCCAAAACCCUCCUAUUGACUUUUUGGAAAGAGCGAGAUGAAAUGCACUUUUCUGGAAUAGUAUCUGGGUGUGGGUUUAACUUAUAUUUAAGACACUCACAAAAAACUUUUAAAAGAAAAAACCUUUAAAGAGGUCAGUGGGAAGACACUGACAAAACAGUGAACUAACUUCACUGAUAAAGUUAGAAAAUAUUUAAAAUGGUAAAUUCCCUCUCAUUAAAGCAUACUUAAUUACAUUAUUUUAAAAUGUAACUUUUCUACAUGUACAUCCAGAGGGAAGGGAAUGAGAAAACACGAUGGUGUAACAAUUGCAAAAGUUAAGAAUAUUAUGUUGUGUGCCUGGUGAGUCGAUUCUCGUAUUUAUUAUAUUUUUCAUAUGGACAUUUAAAAAAUAUGUUUCAAGCAUAAAUUCUCCUAUAUUCGUCCUCCUUCAGAAAUGUUAAGUGGUGGUUUCCCUAAAGUAACAUUAAAAGUGAGUACCAGGAAUGAAAUCCAGGUAUCAGUCCUGUUUUCUAAUGAUAUAGUCUAGAAUAUAUUUAAGGAGCCCUGGCGGUGCAGAGUCACUAUGAGUUGGAAUUAACUUGAAGGCAGUGGGUUUUGGUUUGGGUUUGGUUUUUGGUUUUGGUUGGUGGUGCAGUGGUUAAGUGCUCAGCUGCUAACUGCAAGGUCUGAGAUUCAAACCGACCAAUGGCUCUAUGGGAGAAAAGACCUGGCGAUCUGCUCCCAUUAAGAUUUCAGUCUAGGAAACAGUAUGGGGGCAGUUCUACUCAGUCCUAUAGGGUCGCUAUGAGUCAGAAUUGAAUCGACAGCACACAACAACAACAACAACAGAACAUAUUUGCAUUUAAAAAAUUAUGUAAGCAUAAUUUAAAUGCCCAGAAAAAGAGACUUCUAAAUGUUCAGAUUUGUUUGUAUCUGUAUUCUUAUUUAUAGGGGAAAAAAAAAAUCUAGUAUAGUUCAUAGGACACUCAAAAAAACAUAGCAUUGGACACUCAAUCCAUGGAAAAACAAGCAUUCACAAUAGGUAGUGGGAGAUGGUAGAGAUGAGGGACAGUUGCCACAAUACUAUGUCCAGCGUGAAACUCCUUAAAUGGCAAACCACUUCGUGCUGGUCUUUAUAACCUUAGAUAAAUACUGAUGUUGGUGUUAGGAUAAAAAAUUCAAUUCUGAGAUUUCAUUGGGCAAUGAAAUGGUUUUAGCACUCAACCAAUUUGGAAUGCCAUACCUCCAACUCUUUGUGACCCAUUUCCUUAAAAAUAAAGAAAAAAAUCAUGAAAUCAUUUAAUUCCUAUCAUAAGACUCCAAUCUUGACUACUUUGCACUCAGAUAAAUAAAUACAAUGGACUACAGGGUAUUGAAAAUAAAAAAUAUGAAGCCACGUAUUUCAUGGAAUUUUAUGGUUGUAAGGGGAGCUAUACGAAGCAACCCUGGUGGUGGUGGUGCAGUGGUUAAGAGUUAUGGCUGCUAACCAAAAGGUCGGCAGUUUGAAUCCACCAGCCUUUUCUUGGAAACCCUCUGGGGCAGUUCUACUCUGUCCUUUAGGGUUACUAUGAGUCGGAAUCAACUUGAUGGCAACGAGUUUGAUUUGGUUUGGGUUAUAGGAAGCAGAAUGAUCAUAACUUAUUCAAAUAUGCCUUCAUUGUUAUUGUUUGUAUUUCUUAUGCAAUAGCCAAUAUGAACUAGACUGACUUUCUCUUGAGAAGAUGAAAAUAUAUUUUGCAAAAGAAUGACAAUCAACCGGAAAAUUUGGUCUUUACCAACGGAGCAUCAGUAAUCUGUUCUGGUGGCUUACUUGCUCUGGUCUGAUAUGCUUAGCCAAAAAGUGUAGGGUUGUUGUUUUUAAAAUUAUUUUAUGUACACAGUGGGUAUUCCAAUGAUAUUUCUCAAAGAUCUAAGUGUUUAACAAUAAAAUCCUUUCAUAUAUAUAUAUAUAUAUAUAUACACAUAUAUAUAUAUAUCAGUUGUAAGUAUGUAAGGGAGACAGAGCUCCUUGAUGAAAGGAUAAAAGGAGGGAAAGUUAAAAAGACUAAUUGUAGACUAUAAUUUAUUAAUCGGAGUGAACUUCUGUAUUGCAUUGACUCAUCUUUCCCUAUGCCCACAUGAUCAUACUCUUUGCCAGAGGGAGUGCAAAAGCAUUGAGAAAAUUAAGAUUCACAGCCAGAACUGAAGUCAAUACAGGGCAGAAGAAAACUAAAUACACGGGAGCAGGCAGCCCUCACAGGUUUGAGCCCUCACAAAAGACCACUAGUGGCCAGAAAUAGUGAAAUGGAUUCUCUAAAGUGACUGCCUACAUGUAGUAUGUUUACUAAAAAGCUUGUCACAGACAGCUAAAAUGCAAAUACAAAUGAACUUCAAUGGACUUGUUGGCAAGCCUCCCCAGCCCUUCCAGCGAAUUCCUGAUUGAGGAAGUUAGUUCUGAAACAUGCCUGGAAACUUCAUAUAUGUGAACUACCUUGGGGCUGUUAUCUCUUAGCAUUUAUAGGUAUCUGAAUGUUAAAUAUUUUUCAGACUGCUUCUAUUUUACCUAUUCAUAUGUGCUUUAUCAGACCAGUUUGUUAUUCUUAACAACUGCUAAGAAUAUCAGUGUCUGUUUACUUUAUGAAUUUGGUAACUGAGGCACCCAGAUGAGGAAUUUGCCUUAAGACAGAGAAAAUCUACAGGUAAACAACAGCUAGAAUCCAGGUUUCCCAAACUGCAGUUCCUUCUUCAGUCCACUGGCGUGCUACCUCCUAUUUUUAUUUUCUUCACAGGUUCAUACAUGUGAAUAUCCGCACAGCAGAGAGCUGAGGGGCCAACGAUUCUCUUCAGACACUUGGCAUAUGAUCGGAGGCAGGUCACUUGGACACUCUGGGCCAGAGUUUUUCUUGAGUGGAAGAGGGACACUGGACUUCAUGUCAUUUCUGCCCUGACCCUUCGUCUGUUGAAGCCAAUAAAGCCAGCACAGGGAAUAAGGGCUUGGAACUAGUUCUUCCCGGUUCAGUCAUGGCCGAAGAAGCAAAGCUGGAACAGACCUAAAUUUUUUAAAUUUGGGCGAACUGGAAUGAUAAUGGAAAAAAAUUGCAGGUGGAAGCCCUGCUAGAAACAUAAUCUCCCUCUUAGAAAACAAGGGCAGUGUAAGCAGUGCAUAGCAAGCAAAUCUCCUGUCCCUCAAAUUUUGAGCUGAGGCAGGAACAGCAGUGCCCUGCCCAAAGAUGGCGGCCAGCUGCGCUACUUUGAAUGUGUGUAGCUCUCCACAGUCUUGGCAAUAAUUCAGUUUCCGGCAUCCGGCUCCUGGAACGGCUCACUAUGCCUCUUCCAAGUCUCCCAUUCCAGGGCUUCAACCUGUAGUUUUUCCCGUCCCAGCUAUUGGGAUUCCCCAAUUGUAAAAAUUCGGACUUGUUCCAAUUUCACUUUGAACUGGUUUUCUUAUACAGAUUCACAUACUUAAAUAUGUUUAUUUAAAUAUCUCCAAAUUUAAAUUGAAUACGGAAAGUGCACCAUCUCUAGACUCAGACCCACAAUUUGAGACCUUCGUCUACAAGCUCGGAGCUUGCUUUUCCAUGUGGCCAGGCUUCCUGCUGAAACCUCUAGCUGUCCUUAGAAAAGCCGAUGAGAUACCCUUGGGCUGAAUGAAUGAGAACUUUCUGGAGAACGGAAGACUGGUGGAAGUCCAGCUGGAAAAACAUAUGGCAGCAGACGUGGAAAGAGCACUUCAUGACCAGGAGCUUUAUAAAAAAUAUCUGAAAGCUCAAGGCAGCCGUUACAACCUAAGAUCUUACUAAGCAUGAUGGAUGUUCUUACUUCUAGGACUGCCUCCAACUCACCUGGACCACAGCCAGCGCCGCAUCCUCAGGCGCCCCACGGGAUGGUGCAUGCAGGAGACUAGCAUCAAUCGCAUCCAGUCUCCCAGGCCAGGGUUCCAUCUCGGCUCCGCCUGCCUUCCCCUCUCUCUGCAUGGGGGCGGGGCAGUAGAUGAUUCUGGGAACACAUGAGGUGGCCCCUUAUUCUGUUGUCCUGAAAGAAAACAAAAUUUGUAAACCACUGCAGAUAGUGUGUUUUAUAAUAGAUGUGUUGGGAGGGAAAUUGACUAUGGAAAAUUCUCUUCUUAACCACUCAGGAACUCAGACGGAACAGUUUUGAGCUACGCAGUGACGUAGACUGAGCUGGUGGAGCAGAGCCAGUUGGUGUGAGUUGUUCAGAGCAGGGCACCAUGAGGAGAGGGCAUCUACAGACAAAUGCACGGUCCUUGCCAGUGUCAUUUCCAAAAUAUUGACAAGAAAUAUUUGACUUUUCCGUGUUAAUGCCCCAUCAUAAAAAAAGCCAAACCCAUUGCUGCUGAGUCUAUCCUGACUCUUAGCGACCCUAUAGGACAGAGUAGAACUAACCCCCAUAGUUUCCAAGGAGCACCUGGUAGAUUUGAACUGCCGACCUUUUGGUUAGCAGCAGUAGCACUUAACCACUGCACCACCAGGGUUUCCUGCCCCAUUAUAAUUACCUCAUUGCUAAUAGCCAUUUGUAUCUGUAACAGAGAACCCAUUUAUUUCAAAUACAGGUAUAACUACCUUGAUAAACACUCUGUAUUGAAUGCUGUAUCCCUUAGAAAAGAGAUAAAUCAGAGGAUGAUUAUUCAGAAUUACAAAAGAACACUUUAUAAAGUCUGCAAAUCACCAUUGGAUUUUUUGUUUGUUUUAAAUAGUUAGUUUCUCUAGUAUAUUUCAAUAUUGUUGUUGCUAGCUGCAAUCUAGUUGGCUCUGACUCAUGGCAACAGAACAAACAUUGCAUGGUCCUGAGUCAUCGUCAUGAUCAUUGUAUGCUCAAGGCGAUUGUUGCAGCCACUGUAUUUUUUAAGUGACUUCCAACCUAAGGGGCUCAUCUUCCAGCACUGUAUCAGACAAUUUUUUUUUGUGAUCCAUAGGGUUUUACUGGCUUAUUUUUGGAAGUAGAUCACUAGUCCUUUCUUCCUAGUCUGUUUUUGUCUGGAAUCGCCCCUGAAACCUGCCCACCGUGGGUGUCCCUGCUGGUAUUUGAAAUACUGGUGGCAUAGCUUCCAGCACCAUAACAACACACAAGCCACCACAGUAUGACAAACUGACAGAUGAGUGGUGGACACUUAAAUAGGAGUAGAUUUUUUUAAAUGUAAUGAAAGUACACUUUUUAAAGAUACACAUAGGUUGUAUUCCAGAAGUAUACAUGUGUAGCACUUUUUAUCCGUAACAACGCCAUCCAUAACACAAUGUGUUGCUGAUACUGCUGUAUUUCUUCAACAUACAAUACUUUCUCCCUUCCACCUUCUUUGAUGGCUGGUUUGCCACUAUCUUCUCUAAGCAAUGGCAAUGAUAGAAGCAGCAGUUUAGUAUAGGCACAAAAAUCAGGGCCUAACUUUAUUAGCCAAAUAUUUUUACAGUUAUCUAUCUAGCUUUCUCUUUGUCCCUGUAUACACAUUUCCAAGGUAUAUAUUUUCAGUACUAGACAGAGAGAGGCGAACAGGUCAGUUGCACUUAUUUCAUGCUGAAAAGCAAUGCCAUUAACUUUUGAGGAGAAAAAAAAAGCCAUUUAUAGCCCUUUGUGCUCAGAUUGUUAUUUUCCUCUUAUGAACUCAGAGUAAAAGUCAAGAUGACCAAGUAUCCUUUUUUAAAAAUGCUAUCAGGUGAUGCUGGAAGCUAUGCCAUUGGUUCACAUAGCAGCAAGGUGGACAGGUUUCCAUGGAACGUCCAGACUAAGAAAGACUAGAAAGAAAGGCCUGUCAAUCUACUUCCAAAAAUAAGUCAUUGAAAACCUCAUGGAUCACAACAGAGCAUUGUCUAAUAUAGACCUGGAAGAUGAACUCCUAGGUUGGAAGAUGCUUAAAAUAAACAGUGGCCACAGCAAUGGACUUGAGCAUAUCAAUGAUUGUGAAGGUGGCACAGGACCAGGCAAAGUUUUGUUCUGUUGUAUAUGGGGUUGCCAUGAGUCGGUGCCAACUACACAGCAAUUAACAAAACAACAAACUUUCUAGAUGUUUAGAAGUGCAGACGUAUUCAAAAGUAUAGAUAUUAAAAUAAUAUUUGCAAAAAGCUUUUAAAAAUUGAUGGGAAAUAUUGUCUUUGAAAAUAGAAUUGUUAAACCACCUCUGUGGACAUCAUACUCUGUACUUGUUCAUUGGGUUGCAGGAGGUGGGAAAGAAAAAUUCGCAAAAGGAGUUUUGCUAGUGUGUACUAGAAAAUUUCAGAUUACCCAUUGUCCAUGUACAUGUAUCUUCUAUGCAUUUUAUUUAACUGGUGGUGCAGUAGUUAAAGCAAUUGACUGCUAACCGAAAGGUCAGCGGUUCAAAACCACCAGCCGCUCUGGGGGAGAAAGCUGUGGCAGUCUGCUUCCGUAGAGAUUUACGGCCCUGGAAACCCUGUGGGGUUGUUGUGAGUCUGAAAUCGACUCCAAGGCGGUGGUUUUUUUUUUUUUUUUUUUCUUAAAUCAGGUCAUAUGUUUU